CCCAGGCUCAAAAACCUUUGUAGUCUAAAUUAGAUUUAAACACAGUCAUCUGAAUAGCUAGAUACUGUUAGAGGAAGAAAUAUGGAACAAAUACUAAAUGUAUAUAUAUGUAUAUAUAAAUAUUUUCCAUUUGAAAUGGGUUACUUGUUAGGUAAACUAAAUAGUUGAAAUGUAACUUUAAUUUUGAUUGAGCUCUAGAUCUGUGCAGGUGAGCAGCCAAUCGAGCGUAAUUAGGUCAAGUUGACUCCGCCCACCGAGAGAUGCGGCAUUAGAGAGAGAGAAAAAAACUUGAGAAACAACGUGAAUUAGAAGCUGCGUAAGAUCUUGAUUUAUUUCAUUUUGAGAGAGAACGCAUGUGAAAACCAAACAUUUGGAGUAGGCCAUCAUUGCGUCAUCCGAGAGAAACCUGGAAAAAAACAGAGAAAUAUCAUUAAUACACGAGGGAAUCGGCCAGUUUUGUUAUUUUAGAAAUCUAGAAUCUGGAUUUUUUCAAUUCAUGAAGAUGGCGAGCCAACCGUAAAUCGAUCAGAAACAACUAUCCUUUGUCUUUUUGGACAUCUGUAUCACUUCACUUUCGGCAGGACAUCGCGUCGGAUUUUUUUCUUUUGAGGUUUGAAACAUCUGACAUUUUCAUUUUUCCUUUUGAGCAUUGGAUCACUGAUUUAAAGGAACUGAGGAGACAAUAUCAUUCUUUAUUGUUCAGACUGACAUUUUGUUUGAACUGUGCAUUCAAGAAUUACUGAUACUGCAUUGAUACGCAUUCAUUUAGACUUUGUUUCGUAUAAACAAGUGUUUACAGUGGACAUUUGUACGUGUGACUAAACACAAGUCCUGACAUUCGUGUUUAUUUUAUAUCUACUGAUCUUGAGUAUACAUUUGAGUUGUGUACAUAAAAAAGGAGAUCAGAAAUUGAAUGUUUAUUACAAUUUAAUUUGCAUUGGAGGGAAGAAUUUUCUAUGUCAAGGGUUAAAUUUCAAAUUCAUUUAGCUUAAUUGGUAAAAAGUAAUAUUUAAAGCAGAUUUAAUAUUUCUUUUUUUGGUUUUAUUUUUUUUUGUUUGUUCUUGUUAUUUUUGC